UGUCUCAUUUCACAGCCCUGCCCGCCUGACGUAAUUGUCUAAAAUCGACAUAUUUUUGUUUAUGUGCGCCCGCUCCCCCGCCCCCAAAAAGCGUGUGGGAAGCUGCUGCCGCCCGCUCCCAAUGACCACGCCUGGAAGCGAAUAUUAUUUAAUCCGCCACCUCCUCCGAAGUUCCUCCUCGCUCCGAUGAGAAUCAUCUGUUGCUGACCGCAGAACACCACGCAAAAUUCACCGCUUUUCUUUGCCAAGAUGAACCGCUCUGAACCGAUCAAUAUUCGGAGGGAGCGUUCCUUCGACAGCGUUCUGAAUCGCCUGCUCCGGAUGAGGUCCCAGAACCAUGAGAGUUUUCGCGCCGCCAUGUAUAACUUCUUAAUUGCCGCGGGAGUAGCGGCGUUCGUGGCCGUCUGCAUUAUCCUCGGUCCCUUCGUCCGGCCGCUGCUGUGGGCCUUCCUCAUGGGCGCAGUGCUCUUCCCAUUUAAGCGACGACUGGCGGAGAGCGUGAACAGAUGGUUCAAUCGUCUGGAGGAGCGCGACUCAAACGUACUGGUGUCCAUCUGCCUAUCCCCGCUGGAGGCCACGGAGCACUGUGGCCGGCUGCUGAUCGGAUGGCUCUGCGAGCAUUGGCAGUUGCUCCUGGCCGGAUGCGGAGUGGCCGGGUGCAUUAAGCUGUUGGUCCUGUACGCUCCCAAGGGCUUCCUGCUGGCCCUCUGGUACUGGAUCACUUUUUCGCACGGGUUGUUUGUUCAAAUUAUUGGAUUCCUUAACGUCUAUGUGCUCAUCUCCGUGGUGCUGGUCUACUUGAGCUGCGUCCACUUCUUUUGGAAGCCGGAAAACAGCUCUCAUUUCGUGAUUGCCGGUCAAUCCAUGUGGAUAGCCGUUGCAGGCUACCUAAGUAGCUUCCUAGGUGCCCUGCAGGUGCCUGUGUUCCUGCUGGUCAUGGCCUACGUAACAGCAUCCACUGUAUACCACCUGCAGACGAUAGAUGACUCUGGAUCCUACCUUCACCGCCUGCAGAAACUGUUCGACAAGAACGAUUUCGAGCGAUCGUUGAGCAACUUCAGCAUUUGCGGCAGGCCAAGUAGUGAGCCGCAAAGUCCGGCCUUCCAGUCUGAUGUGGAGGACAUCUCGCUAAGCGACACAGUCGACUCGACGGACACGUUUGAUGCCAAACCUGGAACCGAGGCUUCCAGCCACCAAAGCGAUACGUUCUUUAAGCUAUUGUUUUACGCCUGUCUGGGCACAUUUCUGUAUCGAAACGUGUGGAUGUUUAUUCUGGCCGCAAUUCCAGUACUGCUGCACCUUAUCUAUACAGUUGGAGAUUAUACAGGCAUUACACAGUUUGCUUGCACCAAGGUCAACGAAGUAUAUGCGGCAAUGCGGUUGUGGGCCAUCGAGCACCACUCCGCCGUGCUGCCGCUAUGCCUGCCUGGCGUUUUGGAACUGAACUAUAAACUUAACACUAUUGUGCGAGACUCACUAAAAUCCUCCGUGGAGUCAGUUACCUCGAUCCUCAUGAUUAUCCUCAUGCUGCUCAUAAUUGUGUUUCUGAGUGUGUUCUUUUGCGUAAACAUCUACUCGGAGACGAUUGAGGUGGCAUACCUGGGCAAGGAUCUAAUUAACAAGACGAUCACAGAUCGGCCUGAGCUAAUUGAUAUCUUGCCCGCCAACAUGCAGGCGUCCAUCGAUGAUGCGCUAGAUAAUGCGCACCAUUAUGGCCGCCGUAAGAUUGAGACCUACAUCGACGACUGGCUGGCAGACGCGGACAAGGUUCAUGCCACCAAGCUGAAGGAACAGAUUCUCGAGGUGUGGGACAGACUCAUCCAGUACUGGAUUGACUUCAACAAGGCAGGGAGCUCAUACGGUCCGCGGGUACCCACGGAUGCGCUGAAAAGCACUUUUGGCGAGAUCGUCGACAAUCCAGGGCAUUUUAAAGAGCUAGUUUUAGUGGCAAAACAGGGUAUAAUCGGCUGGGCGCAGAGCAACACGCAGACGAUUCUCGAGGUCGCCGAGUCCCUUUGGCACAUCAUACGAACCAACCUUUCGAUGAUCAUGGGUGUGACCGGAGAAAUUCUAUCCCUGGUGCUGUCUGGUGGACAGGCGUGCAUUGAGUUUAUAUUAGACAUGAUUGUUUUCUUUACGGCUUUGUUCUAUCUGCUCUCAAGCAGUCAGGAAAAGUACGCACCGCUGCAAAUCACCAAGUACCUAGGCUAUUCCAGUUCGGGAAUAAAAAUCGCUGAUGCCCUAGAGAACUCCAUUACAGUGGUCCUUAUGUCCAUGUUCAGGUGCUCAACAUUUACGGGCUUGUUCACCUGGUUGGUUCACACGAUCUUUGGGGCUCGGAUAGUGUUUCUGCCCUCCGCCUUGGCGGCCAUGCUGGCAGCUGCUCCUUUCCUAGGAAGUUACUGGUGUGCAGUGCCAGCCUUCUUAGAGCUCUGGCUUGCCCAGGAUCGCUUUUAUGCAGGACUCUUACUCUUCCUGCUUCAGUUCUUCGUGCCGUCUUCUUUUGAAACGGCCAUCUACGCUGAUCUCAAAGGUGGUGGUCAUCCGUAUCUCAAUGGUCUAGCUAUAGCGGGCGGCAUGUAUUGGAUCGGCUGGCAAGGAGCUAUCUUCGGCCCUUUGAUGCUUUGCUUCUUUAUCGGCCUCUUCGAGGUUGCUACUCUGGCCAUGCGCAGCCAUCAAGAACCCAGGUAACUUAGACUUAAAAAGGCAAUUUCGAUGAUUUUGUUUGAUUUGCAUGCAAAGUAUGAACUUUAUCAGACUUGUGCGGCCCAAGGAUUGAAGCACAGCACUGAUGAGGAGACAAGGACCACGUGAGUUAGCAUGGAACAGAAACUACGAAUUUUCUUAUAAUACUCCAACUGCAAACUAACAUAAUGGCCAAACAUCUGACAAUCAAAACAAUUGGCCCUAGAGUAAGGCCUUUGACUAUUGUUGAUAGGUUCGCAGUUAUUAAUCUUUCCGAUCUGCUAGUUUGAUUCUUAUUUGUUAAAAAUUUGCAAGUGUUUAAGAUUCUGUCUGAACAACAAAUGCUCCUUAAUAUCUAUGCUACUUUUCUUAGUUUUUUUUACAUAUAAUAUGUACCUCGAAUUGUUUGUUUUCGCGAAACAUUUCCAAAGCCGUGAAGUACCGAUGGUGUGCUAGCUACUAGUUGCUUAAUGUAAACUUGUGAUUUGUUUAAACUUAAAUACAAAAUGUGUUGCAAAUAUAUUUCUAUACUAACUGUA